rnacentral:rRNA from 1 species
GACGAACGCUGGCGGCGUGCUUAACACAUGCAAGUCGAACGGAAAGGCACUGCUUUUGUGGGGUGCUCGAGUGGCGAACGGGUGAGUAACACGUGAGUAACCUGCCCUUGACUUUGGGAUAACUUCAGGAAACUGGGGCUAAUACCGGAUAGGAGCUCCUGCUGCAUGGUGGGGGUUGGAAAGUUUCGGCGGUUGGGGAUGGACUCGCGGCUUAUCAGCUUGUUGGUGGGGUAGUGGCUUACCAAGGCUUUGACGGGUAGCCGGCAUGAGAGGGUGACCGGCCACAUUGGGACUGAGAUACGGCCCAGACUCCUACGGGAGGCAGCAGUGGGGAAUAUUGCACAAUGGGCGGAAGCCUGAUGCAGCAACGCCGCGUGCGGGAUGACGGCCUUCGGGUUGUAAACCGCUUUCGCCUGUGACGAAGCGUGAGUGACGGUAAUGGGUAAAGAAGCACCGGCUAACUACGUG